CCAAUGCUGGAGGAUACAUGUGAUGACAUGAAAUGUUCCUAUUUUCCAAAGUUUUCAUCUACCAAGUCGUUCAUGUGCGGUUUAGCACCGUUAAUAUAAGUUCACUCCUUAAAGUAAUAGGUUCUGUGACAGAAGAUUCUUGGUCCUAAAUUUCUGAUUCAAAAAUGGGAAAAAAUUCCAAGAUAUAAAAGCUAUUCACCAGUAUCCCAGUUAAAUGUAUAACAUAAUAGAACAAUAUGAGUCAUCAUUGAGUCACCUUUCCCAGAUGUCUCACAGAAAACCUCCUCUGACUAUAAUGCCCAUGGAAAGUCAUCGUAGUUCCAGAAAGCGGGGGCUGACGGGACACUGUUGAGAGGAUCCAAAAUUCCGCUGCUGCCAGGUGUUGAGGAAAUGCACACACCCUCAUGAGAGAGAUAUAAACCAUCACAGAGCAUCAGAAGUGGAUGAAACUUCUUGGCCUGGAGAAUUAAAAAAAAGAA
rnacentral:antisense_RNA from 1 species